ACUUAAUUCAGCUGGGCUGGUAGAGCAUAAGACUCUUAAUCUUGGGGUCGUAGGUUUCAGCCCCACCUUGGGUA